GGGGGGGGGGGGGGCGGGCGGGGACCUGCCGCCGCUGCCGGCUCUUUGUCUGCUCGGGCAACUUGAACAAAAGGCGAAACUCGGAUGAACUCUCUCCAUCUCUCCCUCUCCUCGCCCGGGUUAUCUCAGCUGCGGCAACUUUAAGCCGGCGAGAUUUCCCCAACUUUCCCGCAGCUCCCUAACAGCGGGCAGCCCCCCUCCAGGCUCCUAAGGCAGUUUGAGGAUAGGCGAAGGUCAAAACAUGGUCGUCAGGAAAAUGGGAUGCUUGCCAAAAUUGUCGGUCUGUGGUAGGUGCCAUACUGCAUUGUCCUUGGAAUGGUGGAAUACAACUUGGGUCUCCUCGGGGAUGACUGAUGUGGCACAAACUCUACCAAGCAACUACUGAAUGCGUUUACCUUUUGGAUAUGUAUGUAAGUUAGCGGGCUACUGGAAGAAAAUGAAGUCUUUUGCAGAAAUGUGAGGAUAUUGUAGAAAACACUGCUGCAAACCAUUUGGAUUAUAUUGCCAUCUGACAUUGCAGUCCUGCAGCUAACAGAAGGAAUUUGCCAGAUCUUUCUUGUUAUGUGGUUGCUGAAGCAUUUUCCUGGCACGGCAGUGAUGAUUGAUGAACACACUUCAGGUUUUGUAACUCUGACAACAGAUGACGUUACAUGUUAAAUUGGGUUUUAAUGAUCAAAAUAUUAUUUUAAGGUAUGAUCUGUCACUUCUAAUUCUUCCAUCAACCCACCUGUUCUUCCAGGAGUUAGUUCCAUCUACUUUAAGUUAUACCAGAUUGGAAUAUCUAUUCCAGAAGGCUUUACUUUUCUUAAACCACACUUGGCUCUGCUAAAAAAUAUUUGUGAAGUUGAUCCCUUACUAAACUUUUUACCAGUUAGCCUGCUCAUAAUUUGCUAAAAAUAUCUGCGUGAAGGGGAAAACAAAACACUUUUUUCUGUGUAUGUAGUGAGUUCCAACCUAUCACACUGGGGCGAUGCUGGCUCUCCAGCAAAUUAUGUUCUUCUGCCUCUUGUGAUCCAGGUUUGGUCACUCAACUUUUGCACAUAGAUCUGUAGCAGUCAUGAAUAAUCUGAUGUGGAUUUCAGCUGCUUCUGCCUGUGUUCCAGCAAAAAAUAUAGAGACUUCAAAAAAUUAGUUUUUCUAAAUAAAUCUGCUUCUAUAAAAGAUACAUUUCCAUUAAAACUCCCAAGAAUGUUAUGCAAAUACAGUAAAAAGAUAACACGUGCCAAUGCUGUUUUUUAGCACAGAGCUGCAAAAUCUUUUUCUCAGUCUUGUCAUGUACAAGAGUUAUCUGAUGUUGAUAAACUGUAAGAUUAUUGGUAGUACAUAAUUAUCCUCUGUAAUUGAUUAGAAUUGUGGGAACAAAUAUGUUGGCUGCUGUUAUAGUUUUUACCCUUGCCACUGUAUUAAAGUAUUUCCUUCAUUUACUUUUGAAUUUCACUUCACUUUAGCAGUUAAAAUUGUAAGCCUGAAUAUAAGGGCAAUUUCAGAAUUUCUUGAGUGGUUUUGUAACCUGUUCUUUGAGAUUGUGUCAAUCCAGGAUACAGUUAAGUUGUUGACAGCCUUGGCAGUUAACCCAAGCUCUUUAAAGACUACCCAAAGGCAUGUGAAGGUUGGUUUUGAUUCAAUUCUUGCUCUGCCUCCAGCUUCCUGGGAAACCAUGGAUGAAUUCCUUAGUCCCCACAGCAGUGUGAGGCAAGCACUUAAACACCUAUGUGACCUAAAGAAGGACCCAUGUGUUUCUUCUGAUAAAGAAAGUAGUAGCAUGCUGCACAAAAAUGUAGUCUCUAACAACACAUAAGCCCAUGGGUACAUUGAGCUUUCUGUGCAAAUGCGGGUCUGGUGCUGGU